rnacentral:rRNA from 1 species
UCGGGAAUUUUGGGCAAUGGGCGAAAGCCUGACCCAGCAACGCCGCGUGAGGGAUGAAGUAUUUCGGUAUGUAAACCUCGAAAGAAUGGGAAGAAUAAAUGACGGUACCAUUUAUAAGCUCCGGCUAACUACGUGCCAGCAGCCGCGGUAAUACGUAGGGAGCAAGCGUUGUUCGGAUUUACUGGGCGUAAAGGGCGCGUAGGCGGCGCGGUAAGUCACUUGUGAAAUCUCUGAGCUUAACUCAGAACGGCCAAGUGAUACUGCUGUGCUAGAGUGCGGAAGAGGCAACCGGAAUUCUUGGUGUAGCGGUGAAAUGCGUAGAUAUCAAGAGGAACACCUGAGGCGAAGGCGGGUUGCUGGGCCGACACUGACGCUGAUGCGCGAGAGCCAGGGGAGCAAACG